rnacentral:misc_RNA from 1 species
UGCAAUUUUUUUUUUUUUCUAUUUCCAAGCUUUCCACUUCUCCAUUUUCCAAAUGAUUAGAAAACUAAAACGCGUUUUCACUUAUCCAAUUCUCCAUUUUAAAUUUCCCUUUCUAAGAUAUUUUAUUAUCUUUUUUUUUUAAAUUGAUACACUAGAUUUUUAUUGCUAGAGCAUUGAAAAUAAAUAAUGAUUAUUUGAAUUCCAUAUUAUCAUAAAAAUAAUGUUUAUUUAAACAUGAUUACAUAAUAAAAAAAGUCAACAAAUAUUAUGCAUUCAUUAUAUUAUAGUAUCAUGAAUAAAAGCAUCUAAAAAAUGUAGAACGAAGACAGAAUAUAUG